UUAGAUAGUGCUCACUUCUACUCAUUUUAAAAUGGGAACAGUACGGUAAAGAUUAUCAUGGUUCCUGUCCAAGGAUGACUUGCAAAUUUGCAAAGCAUUCUAUAUUUUA